CACAGCAAAUAGAAAUCCCUGUGAACUUCUGCAGUGAUAAAGUUCAAAAUCUGAAUAAAAAGAACCUCUGGGAGGGCAGGAAGAAGGGGAUCAGAGAGCAGGAGAGGAAGCCAGCACAUGAGCAUGGAAAAAGAAGUAAGGAACUCUUUUAAAACAUCUCCAAGAACAGAACGAAAUGGGGCCUGGAAAUGGGGCGUGUGGAUAGCCUCUUCCCCUCAGUCUGGAUUCUAAAAAUGAACCUUCUUUUAAUCGUUAAAAUCCCUUAUUGCAAAUGCAAUUUUGAUGCCAUCGAUGAGAGAUCUGGGAUUACAAUUCCUGACCAUUUCAGCAGACAUUUGGGGAAGGAAAUAGAAGAAUAAUUUUGAGGUCUCUCCAAAAAAUGAAGGAAGAAAAAAGGAUGAGAAGAUAUUCAGUGAAAACGAAAGCUUCCCUCCCAUCCUGACCCCCCAAUUUUGCAGUUCUCCUCUCCAUUGAAAGAAGUCCUGGGUAUCCUCCAAGAGAUCCUGAGACUAUGUUGCAAGGAUUAUCACAAAGUCUGUGGAUUCUCUACAACUGAGCACCCCCAGCUCUCAGAAAAUGGAAAAGCUGCACCUCAGGGCUGAGGAGUAUUCUGGAGGAAUACUGGUCCACAGCUGAGUAAAUGGAGGCAAGAAGUUGCCCAUCACUUUACCUCUGAAUGAGGGCCCCGGGAGAGAGAGGAGGCAUUUUGAGAAUUGAAGAGCUGGAACAGACCUUAAUAAUCAUUCUGAUCAUCAAGGUUUCCUGAACUUCUAACCCUGGGGGCAAAGCAAAGUCGCUGAACUGGCCUGGAGGGUUCAAGUGCUUUGCCUGAAUCUCCUACCUCAAUCAAGAAAAAGUGUCUUUCAAAAUCUCAAGUUCUAGCUUAAAAAUUCAUGAAGCAUUUUACAUUAUAAA